CAUCUAGUAUUUCUCAGAUAAUUUAAUAUUUGCUGUGAAUAUGAAUAUAUAUACUAAUCUGAGUAUAACUAUGUUCCCUCCCUCCCUUUCCUUCUUUUACAAAAAUCAGGACUUUGGAAAAGUUUCUGAAGUGUUUACUUAAGAGGUUUUAGGAUCAUAGGAACUGACAGAAUCAGUAUCUAAGACUCUUGCUCAGUCUUUCUAUAUCAUCC